UGAGGGAUAUUGGGCAAUGGGGGAAACCCUGACCCAGCGACGCCGCGUGAGGGAAGACGGUCUUCGGAUUGUAAACCUCUGUCUUUGGGGACGAAGAAGGACGGUACCCAAGGAGGAAGCUCCGGCUAACUACGUGCCAGCAGCCGCGGUAAUACGUAGGGAGCGAGCGUUGUCCGGAAUUACUGGGUGUAAAGGGAGCGUAGGCGGGAUUGCAAGUUGGAUGUGAAAACUGCGGGCUCAACCCGGAGAGUGCAUUCAAAACUGCGAUUCUUGAGUGAAGUAGAGGCAAGCGGAAUUCCUAGUGUAGCGGUGAAAUGCGUAGAUAUUAGGAGGAACACCAGUGGCGAAGGCGGCUUGCUGGGGCUUUUACUGACGCUGAGGCUCGAAAGUGUGGGGAGCAAACAGGAUUAGAUACCC
rnacentral:rRNA from 1 species